rnacentral:rRNA from 1 species
UAAGAGAGUUUGAUCCUGGCUCAGGAUGAACGCUGGCGGUAUGCCUUACACAUGCAAGUCGUACGUAAGUUUUUAACUUAAGUGGCGGACGGGUGAGUAACACGUGAGAAUCUGCCUUUAGGAGGGGGACAACAGUUGGAAACGACUGCUAAUACCGCAUAAUGUCUACGGACCAAACGGGGCUUAGGCUUCGGCGCAGAGAGAGGCCCAAGUGAGAUUAGCUAGUUGGUGGGGUAAAGGCUCACCAAGGCAACGAUCUCUAGCUGUUCUGAGAGGAAGAUCAGCCACACUGGGACUGAGACACGGCCCAGACUCCUACGGGAGGCAGCAGUGGGGAAUAUUGCACAAUGGGGGAAACCCUGAUGCAGCCAUGCCGCGUGUGUGAAGAAGGCCUUCGGGUUGUAAAGCACUUUCAGUUGUGAGGAAAAGUGAGUAGUUAAUACCUGCUCACCGUGACGUUAACAACAGAAGAAGCACCGGCUAACUCCGUGCCAGCAGCCGCGGUAAUACGGAGGGUGCGAGCGUUAAUCGGAAUUACUGGGCGUAAAGCGCACGUAGGCGGAUCAGAAAGUUGGGGGUGAAAUCCCAGGGCUCAACCCUGGAACUGCCUCCAAAACUCCUGGUCUUGAGUUCGAGAGAGGUGAGUGGAAUUCCGAGUGUAGAGGUG